rnacentral:lncRNA from 10 species
GCUUAUUUGAGAAAUAUUAAGAAUGGGGCCACAGUUUGGGUUUUAGCAACUGAUUGGAAAGUGAUGCCAUUCACAUUGGACACGUUUAAAUUUGAGACGCUAGUGGAACAACCAUGUAUAGACACCUACUCGGCAAUCCUGCAUAUGAUCUCAACAUCAGAAGAGAGAUGUGGGCUGAUGACACAGAACUGAGAAUAGCCAGCGUUGCCACUGGGAGUAACCAUCACAUAUGUGGCAAAAAAGGCCAUUGGCGCAGAUAUAAUCACCCAGGCGGGAUGUGUAAAAUGGAAAAAGAAGGCAACCUAGAAGCAGGAUUCAACGUAUCAGAUACAGUAAUGAAGACAAUAAGAAAUUGGAUUGAUCCAGGUCUGGAGUUUUGCCACAGAGUGAAAUGGAACAACAAUAUGCAGGAGAAGUGAGGAUACUGAAUUCUACUUGAAAAUUAUACAGAAACAAUUUCUUAGAAUGCUCACAAAAGACCUGAAAACAUGGGGAGGAAGCAGGGCAUUUACAGCUUAUAACUCAUGCAAAACAACAUGCUGCAAUGUUCUGAUGAAAUGCUCCUCUACAGUCGAGGCUCCCAGAAGGCAGAGAGCAUAUUCAUUAACUCAUUCUGCUCAACACUUAGCUCAUGUCCAUGGAGAGAUGUUGAAUAUGAGCUCCUAUUAAAAAGAGGGAAUACAAUCAAUCAUUUGAGAAUGUCCAAAAAGAACUUUUCCUUUCCAUCGAGCCUUACAAAUUAUUCUAAGAUUGUUUCUGUAAAUACCAUGUAAUUGGGAGAGAUACACAGGGAGCGUCAAUUGUGUCUGUAAUGUUUUACUGCUUAUGAUAAAAAGAUCUGAAACUAAUGUGACAAAAUACUAAGAUUUCACAGAAUUCAGUGUUGAGUGUCCUCUAAGUUAUUAUCUUUAUUCUUCAAAUAUUUCAUAAGGAAAAAGAUGGUGGGAACUUACAAUAUUUAUUAUUUUUUUGGAGAAUGGCUGGAUAAUAUACAUUGAAAUCUGCUAAGAAUUUACCAGAAGGAAGGAAAGAGAAACACACACACACACACACACACACACAGAGAGAGAGACAGAGAGAGAGAGAGAGGAAAAAAAAAUAUAUCCUUGGAAUGCCAAGCCCAAAGAUGCAAGUCUAUCUGCCGAUUUAUAAAAGCAAAUAAAGAGAAACCAUCUAA